UCCAGCCCUCUCUCUACUUCUUAGCAUGAGAUAGGGUCUCACUAAGUUGCCCAGGCUGGUCUCAAGCUUACAACUCUUCCUCAGUCUCAUGCAUAAGGAGGAUUAUUGUCCCAGACCUCAAGGCCCAGCAAAAGCCAAUUCCUGUGAAGAGAGAAGGACCCCAAAGAGGGCAGAUUGAAGAGCACCAGAACUGAGGUAGCAAAACUGAGACUCCCUGCGUUGAAGUCACUCAAGGAGGAAGUGGGGUUCUGGAAAAGGAAAUUCAGAACUCGGUGCUUCUGCAUUCAGAAGCAAGCUAUUCACUUCCGGUUCCUGUCCUGCCUCCUUUGGGACGGGUGUGCGGUGCUUACUAAGCUCUUUUGAAAAAUCCAGUGACAGCAGGUGAACUGCUCUGCAGGAGGCGGUACUAGGACGACAGCAGGAAGUAGAGAAAUACGUUUUUAGAGAGAAAAAGCAAAACCCAGUUGGGGCUGAGUUUGCAUUUGACCUGUGCUAGGAAGCAGUUGCUUGGUUUAGCAAGGAGGCAUCUGAGGCUUGCAGACGCCAAGUACCUCGCCCAGGGCCACACAACCAAUGAAUGACCAGCAGAGAGGUUCAAAUCCAGUUCCAAGCCCACCUUUGAAGGGAUGCCGCUGCAAACAAGCCAGAGAUUGUUUGGAGAAGGAAAACAACGAAUUCCCCACCAACCUCCAGUUUCUAUUUAUUAAAGCCUGAGUGAAUUCAUCUGGGGUGAAUCUCAACAAAUACUUACUUGGCCACCCCUCCCCCACCAGGAGGUCAAGGCAUAGCUUAAAGGGUAUUUAGAACCACUUGACCAUGAAGCCCACCAGCCUUCCCCCCACUCCCGGAUGACCCCAGCAGCCCUUACCCAGGAUUCCCCACGCCAGCCCAGCUCCAACAUGCCUGUUAGAAAUGAGAGACAUCGUCUGUUAGACACAAGCCACAAAAGCUGUGAGACAUACUUUCGCUCUUACUGGUAGCAAUUAAUGUGUAACGAGUCAUUGCCAAAGUAAGUUGCUUAUUUCAAAGCAACUCAAAGGGGCUAUUUCCUUUUGUAGCCCAUUCAUUAAGACGUUGAGUCACUUGGUAGCAGCAAUUGAAACCCUGUUGAGGAAUGACCACUCGCCCAGCUUGAGCUGAGCUCCUGGGACUCUGAGGUUAUUCCCUCCCUGGCCAUUCGAGGAGAGCUGGAGAAUAUCUUAUUUUGAUAUUUCCCUCCAAGGCAGGAGCUUGUGUGGGAGAAGGGAGUAAAAUCACAAGUUAGAAUUGGUAUCGCUGGCAAGAGCUUGUAAGGUCACCCCAGUGUCAUCCACCCUCACAAAUGACAGUUCCAAAACAAAUAGCCCUUCGAAAAGGGAAAAUGCCGGUUGUCGUCUUGUCAAACACAAAGCUAACCAUUGUGUCUUGUAUGAACACCCUGUGGUUUCCACCAAUUUUGCAAAGCACAUUUCCCCUUGGGCAGGGCUUGUCAGGUUCCCCCCCUCACCCCCACCCCAUGACAUCCUUCCAUUGACAUACCCUCAGCCCCAAGGGAGGAGAAAUCCACCCAGAUAUUUGUAGCUCUGAAAUUUCAUUUGCGUCAUCUGUGUCCAAGAUGGGUCAUUAUUCUAGACUCAAACCACAUCCUGCAAAAUGAAAACAGUGAGGGGACCUUUGACCAGAAGCUGGAGAGGAGGUGGGACAAAGCAAGGGACAGGGGAACAGGGAGGAGCGAGGUGUUAAAAGCCUCAGGGGCUCUGGAGUCCAGAAACAAACUCCCUGUGGCGCAAUGUAAUGAUGACCUCUUCUUGGCUAAGUGCGGUACCCUGGAGACUACUAUAAGUAACUUAUAAUAGAAAUUUUAUUAGCGGCAGUAAUUUUUUAUGAUAAUUAGAGUAAUCAGCAGCCCAUAAAAUCCGAAGAUAUAUAGUUAUAUCUUUUAUAAGGAAAAGUGUCUCUCCUAACUAUAGAAAGACCGUAAAUGGCCAAAGCAGCUUUAUGGGCAGUCCUGGCUUUUAUGCCGGCUGUUUGGUGUUCCCUUCCUUAUUAACACUCUUCAUUGCUUUGGCAGUAAACAUUUGAUGACAAAUUCAAAGUGUGCUCAAUGAGAGCCAACGCUGCAGAUGUGGCUGCAAGAGCCCUCUGCCCCCUCUCCCCUCCCGCUUU